rnacentral:misc_RNA from 1 species
UGGUUCUGGCAUCGAUGAAGAACGCAGCGAAAUGCGAUAAGUAAUGUGAAUUGCAGAAUUCAGUGAAUCAUCGAAUCUUUGAACGCACAUUGCGCCCAUCGGUAUUCUGAUGGGCAUGCCUGUCCGAGCGUCAUUUCAACCCUCAAGAAACCCCCUACCGUUCGCGGGCCGGGGCGCCUUGGUGUUGGGGAUCGGCCCGCCCCUAGCGGCGCGCCGUCCCCUAAAUCGAGUGGCGGUCUCGCUGUCGCCUCCCUUGCGUAGUAGCACACACCUCGCACCGGAGAGCAGCGCGGCCACGCCGUAAAACCCCCCCCAACCUUUCUCAAUGGUUGACCUCGGAUCAGGUAGGAAUACCCGCUGA